UCCUCUGGAACAUCCGGUCCUGCUAAAUC
rnacentral:piRNA from 1 species